CCUACGGGAGGCAGCAGUGGGGAAUAUUGCACAAUGGGGGAAACCCUGAUGCAGCGACGCCGCGUGAGUGAAGAAGUAAUUCGUUAUGUAAAGCUCUAUCAGCAGGGAAGAAACUGACCGUACCUGAGGAAGAAGCCCCGGCUAACUACGUGCCAGCAGCCGCGGUAAUACGUCGGGGGCCAGCGUUAUCCGGAUUUACUGGGUGUAAAGGGAGCGUAGACGGCAGUGCAAGUCUGGUGUGAAAGGCGGGGGCUCAACCCCCGGCUUGCUGUGGAAACUGGACGGCUGGAGUGCAGGGGAGGUAGGUGGAAUUCCUAGGGUAGCGGUGAAAUGCGUAGAUAUUAGGAGGAACACCAGUGGCGAAGGCGGCUUGCUGGAGUGUAACUGACGUUGAGGCUCGAAAGCGUGGGGAGCGAACAGGAUUAGAUACCCCUGUAGUC
rnacentral:rRNA from 1 species